UGAACGCGAAGAACCUUACCAGGUCUUGACAUCCUCUGACAAUCCUAGAGAUAGGACGUCCCCUUCGGGGGCAGAGUGACAGGUGGUGCAUGGUUGUCGUCAGCUCGUGUCGUGAGAUGUUGGGUUAAGUCCCGCAACGAGCGCAACCCUUGAUCUUAGUUGCCAGCAUUCAGUUGGGCACUCUAAGGUGACUGCCGGUGACAAACCGGAGGAAGGUGGGGAUGACGUCAAAUCAUCAUGCCCCUUAUGACCUGGGCUACACACGUGCUACAAUGGACAGAACAAAGGGCAGCGAAACCGCGAGGUUAAGCCAAUCCCACAAAUCUGUUCUCAGUUCGGAUCGCAGUCUGCAAAUCGACUGCGUGAAGCUGGAAUCGCUAGUAAUCGCGGAUCAGCAUGCCGCGGUGAAUACGUUCCCGGGUCUUGUACACACGCA
rnacentral:rRNA from 1 species